CACCACAACCUGCAUCUGUCUCGGAGUCAUAAUAGGCAGCUUGUUAUUUGCAAGCUGUCCCGACCCCCGCAGAACUGUCUGCCGAGGCCUCACCAGUUCAAUGGGCCUCUUAUAUCUCUGGAGAGAAACAGCACAGUGCCAAACAAGACUGGCACAGAGAGGGAACAGCGUGGGCACGUGGGAAAAGCAUGGGCAAUACGCGGCUCAUCUCGUGAUCCAAUACAAUAAGUUUUAAAUGGGGAAGCUGGCAGACAGAAAACAAAACCAAGACACGGAACAAGGAAUGAGUACAAGCAGAAACAGCCACAGUGAGAUGUUGAUGAAGAGCUGCAGACAACUGCACCUCUGCAAACAGCCCACCUCCGACAGGCUGCCGGUCCACAUGUGAGCUGAUCCGAAUUCAGCUGAUCACUGAGCCAGACGACUGACUUGGAGGAGGAACACAGGAGCUCAUUCACCACCAGGAUGCUCACAGCGACUUGUGAUUUGGCCUUUAAACAUCUGUUGCACACUGACUGACCUUUGCACUGCAAAGAGAGAGCUGCAGAAUGCUGUGUGUUACUGUUUGGCUGCCAAAAACAUUUUCCCAUUACAGGGUUUUACUGUCAGAAAGGGAAAAAAAAUCCUAGUAGAAGGCAA